rnacentral:misc_RNA from 1 species
AAGGAUCAUUACAGAGUUCAUGCCCUUCGGGGUAGACCUCCCACCCUUUGUAUACAUUGCCUUUGUUGCUUUGGCGGGCCGCCUUUUGGCCAUCGGCUUCGGCUGGUGCGUGCCCGCCAGAGACCCCCAAACCCUGUUUUACAGUGUCGUCCGAGUACUAUAUAAUAGUUAAAACUUUCAACAACGGAUCUCUUGGUUCUG